rnacentral:rRNA from 1 species
UACGUAGGGCGCAAGCGUUGUCCGGAAUUAUUGGGCGUAAAGAGCUCGUAGGUGGCCUGUCGCGUCGGCUGUGAAAACUCGGGGCUCAACUCCGAGCUUGCAGUCGAUACGGGCAGGCUAGAGUUCGGCAGGGGAGACUGGAAUUCCUGGUGUAGCGGUGAAAUGCGCAGAUAUCAGGAGGAACACCGGUGGCGAAGGCGGGUCUCUGGGCCGAUACUGACGCUGAGACGCGAAAGCCAGGGGAGCGAACGGG